GCGGGGGUGGCAGAGCCUGGUCAAAUGCGCUACCUUGAGGGGGUAGUCCCUUAGUGGGUGCGCGNNUUCGAAUCACGUCCCCCGCA
rnacentral:tRNA from 1 species